UGUGCCUCGUCAUUAAUGCAGAAACUUAUCUUAAGAAGCUAAGACAGAAGACCGGAGGUCAACGUCCUUUUUCCAUUGAGAGGACUACUUCUCACAAUAGCACAGAAAGUCCAAACUGCAGUCGAAACUCUGAAGUUAUGAAGACACCAAAUAGAAGCACUAUUCGUUGGAAAAUAAUGCAUUACCUCGGCGUGUUUGUAGCGUGGCGCUCCGUGCCGCUUAUGGUAAUACUAUACUAUAUAUUUGGUGCCGCGGUAUUCGGUCUGGCCCGCGGUAAAACUUCGCUAGACAUCGCAUUGUUCCCGCUAGAGUUCACCACUAGCGGCGGAUUGGAAC